AGGAUCAUCAUUGUUUACAUCGCCUCUCUUUUUCUUUCUCCACUGUCAAUAUAUGGCUUAACUAUCGCUUGGGUGUUGAUGUGAUAGUUGGUAUUAAUAUAAUGUGCCUUGACCGCCUUCAACUUCCGCAUCGUAUGAUUACUGCUGACACAUAAUUCAUUCUUCUGACUCGAUCAAGGCGACAAUGUUCUCUGCUUCAUGAUUUUCCCAGGAGUACGUUAGAGUUGGACUCUCCUAGAGACUGUUGUAUUGUAGGCUUGUCUCUGUUUAUUCUUUUUGGACCUUCCAAUCUACAAAGAAAACUUUAUAGUGAUCAAGAUUCUAUAUAUUAAUUCCCAAUGGAAACUUCUAAUUCCUUGACUUCAAUUUCCUAAAGGAAUUAAAUAUUGUUCUCCUCUGUAUAUCAUUGUAUUAUGUCAUUAUGCUGACACUUGAAAUCAGCAUUUGAUGUUAUUUGCUGUGUUCAUCUGAUCGUAGAUUGAAAUACAUCAGAUUUUGUGAAUCAUGCUGCUGUAUUUGAUUAUUGAUGAUUUAAUUCCAUUGAUAAGCUGAAGAAAAUUAAGUCAGAUUUUCUGUGGGCCUAAAGUUGUUUAGCAUACAUAUGUUGCGUUUUCAGUUGUAGUUCUAAAGAUGUAGCUUAAUUCUAAUACUUGGCAUUUAAUCAGAUUGCAAUGAUGAUGCAUGAUGAAUGUCAGAGAGUACAAGCAAAGUGAAAUAUCCAUGUGGUAUUGCAAUGAUGAUUUAUGAUGUCGGAGGGUUCAACCGAAGUAUUAUGUCCAUGCAGUCUAAGAGAAUGUCUGAAAACUAGAGUACUGUAUGAGCUCCGAAGAAGAAAUAUUUGGUUUCUUCUGCGACUGUCAUUUGAUUUGUUAGACUGGGAUCGUUUUCCCUUUCAGUGAAUUCUAACUUCUUUUGAAGUAUUUGUUAAGUAUUUACUUGUUGAAUUCCUCUGAAACUCAUUGUGCUAAUAGAUUAUGUGAGAACUAAAUAUAAAGAAAGAGCAUGGCUCAGAUGCAUCACUUUUGACAAUGGCUUUUCCUUGUUUAGGGCUGUGACUACAUGCUUAUUGGCUUCCUUUCGGCUUCAAGAUUUUUUAACUGUUCCCAAAUUUGUUACUAUGUAAUCUAUGAACUUCAAUAAGACUUCUUUGAACAAAGUGUUUAGAAUCAUAUUGAUACCUUAUGUAUCCACCUUUUUGCCAACUUUUGGUGCUUGUUAUAUGGGUAACUGAUUAUUUCUGUGGCC